UACGUAGGGGGCAAGCGUUAUCCGGAUUUACUGGGUGUAAAGGGAGCGCAGGUGGCAAGGCAAGCCAGAAGUGAAAACCCGGGGCUUAACCCCGCGGAUUGCUUUUGGAACUGUCUGGCUGGAGUGCAGGAGGGGCAGGCGGAAUUCCUGGUGUAGCGGUGAAAUGCGUAGAUAUCAGGAGGAACACCGGUGGCGAAGGCGGCCUGCUGGACUGUAACUGACACUGGGGCUCGAAAGCGUGGGGAGCAAACAGG
rnacentral:rRNA from 1 species